AAGACUAUAGACCUGCGGAGUACCUGCGGAGGGAUCAUUAAUGAGAAACUGCCCCUCGCGGGUAGAUCUCCCACCCUUUGUAAACUUACCUUUGUUGCUUUGGCAGGCCCGUCUCCGGACCGCCGGCUUCGGCUGGCCAGUGCCUGCCAGAGGAUUCUAAAACUCUGUCUGUCAGUGUUGUCUGAGUCUAUAUACAAUCGUUAAAACUUUCAACAACGGAUCUCUAGAUCGGAAGAGCAC
rnacentral:misc_RNA from 1 species